CAAUAGCGUAUAUUAAAGUUGUUGCAGUUAAAAAGCUCGUAGUUGAAUUUUUGCUUGCCGCCGAUGUCGGAACUUCCGUACGUUCGGCGGCGUGCAUCCUUGGGUGGAACCUGUGUGGCAUUAGGUUGUCGUGCAGGGGAUGCUCAUCGUUUACUGUGAAAAAAUUAGAGUGUUCAAAGCAGGCUUACGCCGUUGAAUAUAUUAGCAUGGAAUAAUAAGAUAGGACCUUGGUACUAUUUUGUUGGUCUGCGCACCGAGGUAAUGAUUAACAGGGACAGUUGGGGGUAUUCGUAUUCCAUUGUCAGAGGUGAAAUUCUUGGAUUUCUGGAAGACGAACUACUGCGAAAGCAUUUACCAAGGAUGUUUNCAUUAA
rnacentral:rRNA from 1 species